AGGGGCAGCAUGUAUCUGGCUUGCCAGAUACGAUGGCGACCGGCGCACGGGUGAGUAACGCGUAUCCGACCUGCCGCACACUCCGGGAUAGCCUUGCGAAAGCAAGUUUAAUACCGGAUGCCGUAAUGGCGCCGCAUGGUGUUUUUACGAAAGGGAUUUACCGGUGUGCGAUGGGGAUGCGUCCCAUUAGCUUGUUGGCGGGGUAACGGCCCACCAAGGCGACGAUGGGUAGGGGUUCUGAGAGGAAGGUCCCCACAUUGGAACUGAGACACGGUCCAAACUCC
rnacentral:rRNA from 1 species